rnacentral:rRNA from 1 species
AACGAACGCUGGCGGCAGGCCUAACACAUGCAAGUCGAACGCUGUAGCAAUACAGAGUGGCGCACGGGUGAGUAACGCGUAGGAAUCUACCCAUUAGCCUGGGAUAACAGCGGGAAACUGCUGCUAAUACCGGAUACGCCCUUCGGGGGAAAGGUUUACUACUAGUGGAUGAGCCUGCGUUAGAUUAGCUAGUUGGUGAGGUAAUGGCUCACCCAGGCUCCGAUCUAUAGCCGGUCUGAGAGGACGAUCGGCCACACUGGAGCUGAGACACGGCACAGACUCCUACGGGAGGCAGCAGGGGGGAAUAUUGGGCAAUGGACACAAGUCUGACCCAACCAUGCCGCGUGUGUGAUGAAGGCCUUAGGGUUGUAAAGCACUUUUAGUAGUGAAGAUGAUGACAGUAGCUACAGAAAAAGCCCCGGCUAACUUCGUGCCAGCCGCCGCAGUAA